rnacentral:lncRNA from 1 species
GGGUGUAAAGUGGAAGGCGGAUUGGGGUUCUUGGGUUGGCACAGCUGCCGAUGUCUUUUCGGGAUGGCAGCUUGUCCUGGUGCGUUCGGGGGAGAAUGGGUGGGACAUCUAUUCGUGGAGUGGUUUCUUUAAACGUCCGUAGCGGGUGGUUCCGUGGUUGUGGCGCUUGUGGGGCGGGAUGUUCACUCAGGAGGUGGUCAGUCUCAUAUCUUUCUGGGGCUUCCGUGUUGAGGGCUUGUGGUUUGUCAGUCAGAGGCUUUAUUGUUUUCUCCUGGUCCCAAUGUAUAGUGGGAUUCGCAGC